AUUGAACGCUGGCGGCAUGCUUUACACAUGCAAGUCGAACGGCAGCGCGGGCUUCGGCCUGGCGGCGAGUGGCGAACGGGUGAGUAAUACAUCGGAACGUGCCCAGUAGUGGGGGAUAGCUCGGCGAAAGCCGGAUUAAUACCGCAUACGACCUGAGGGUGAAAGCGGGGGAUCUUCGGACCUCGCGCUAUUGGAGCGGCCGAUGGCAGAUUAGCUAGUUGGUGGGGUAAAGGCCUACCAAGGCGACGAUCUGUAGCUGGUCUGAGAGGACGACCAGCCAAACUGGGAAUGGGACAAGGGCCAAGCUCCUAAGGGAGGCAGGAGUGGGGAAAUUUGGACAAUGGGCGAAAGCCUGAUCCAGCAAUGCCGCGUGUGUGAUGAAGGCCUUCGGGUUGUAAAGCACUUUUGGCGGGAACGAAAAGGACUGUGCCAAUACCACGGUUCGAUGACGGUACCCGCAGAAUAAGCACCGGCUAACUACGUG
rnacentral:rRNA from 1 species